ACGAACGCUGGCGGCGUGCUUAACACAUGCAAGUCGAACGGAAAGGCCCUGCUUUUGUGGGGUGCCCGAGUGGCGAACGGGUGAGUAACACGUGAGUAACCUGCCCUUGACUUUGGGAUAACUUCAGGAAACUGGGGCUAAUACCGGAUAGGAGCUCCUGCUGCAUGGUGGGGGUUGGAAAGUUUCGGCGGUUGGGGAUGGACCCGCGGCUUAUCAGCUUGUUGGUGGGGUAGUGGCUUACCAAGGCUUUGACGGGUAGCCGGCCUGAGAGGGUGACCGGCCACAUUGGGACUGAGAUACGGCCCAGACUCCUACGGGAGGCAGCAGUGGGGAAUAUUGCACAAUGGGCGGAAGCCUGAUGCAGCAACGCCGCGUGCGGGAUGACGGCCUUCGGGUUGUAAACCGCUUUCGCCUGUGACGAAGCGUGAGUGACGGUAAUGGGUAAAGAAGCACCAGCUAACUACGUG
rnacentral:rRNA from 1 species